GAAAAAUCUGGAUGAGAUAAACAUUGAUCCACAAGAGGAAAUGGCUGUGGACAGUGCAUCAGAUACUGAACAUGAGGCUGAUCAGACAGACUAUAAUGCAGACUCUUCAAGAUCACCAUCAUCUUACUCAUCAUGUAUGCUGGAUAAAGAGGUGCCACUGAUGGCAGAGGGUUCAGGUGAAUCGCAGAGAAUCACAG